CUACGGGUUGCUGCAGUGGGGGAUUUUGGACAAUGGGCGCAAGCCUGAUCCAGCCAUUCCGCGUGAGUGAAGAAGGCCUUCGGGUUGUAAAGCUCUUUCGCAAGGGAAGAAAACUUAUCCUCUAACAUAGGGUGAGGUUGACGGUACCUUGAUAAGAAGCACCGACUAACUACGUGCCAGCAGCCGCGGUAAUACGUAGGGUGCGAGCGUUAAUCGGAAUUACUGGGCGUAAAGCGUGCGCAGGCUGUUUUGUAAGUCAGAUGUGAAAUCCCCGAGCUCAACUUGGGAACUGCGUUUGAAACUACAAGACUAGAAUAUGUCAGAGGGGGGUAGAAUUCCAUGUGUAGCAGUGAAAUGCGUAGAGAUGUGGAGGAAUACCAAUGGCGAAGGCAGCCCCCUGGGAUAAUAUUGACGCUCAUGCACGAAAGCGUGGGGAGCAAACAGGAUUAGAUACCCCGGUAGUC
rnacentral:rRNA from 1 species